rnacentral:rRNA from 1 species
CUGCGAUAGCGAAGAGGUCACACCCGUUCCCAUACCGAACACGGAAGUUAAGCUCUUCAGCGCCGAUGGUAGUCGGGGGUUUCCCCCUGUGAGAGUAGGACGCCGC